GAUUGAACGCUGGCGGUAUGCUUAACACAUGCAAGUCGAACGGAAACGAUACUAGCUUGCUAGUAGGCGUCGAGUGGCGGACGGGUGAGUAACGCGUAGGAAUCUGCCUGAUAGUGGGGGAUAGCCCGAAGAAAUUCGGAUUAAUACCGCAUAAUCUAUUCGUAGUAAAGUGGGGGACUUUCGAGCCUCACGCUAUCAGAUGAGCCUGCGUAAGAUUAGCUUGUUGGUAGGGUAAAAGCCUACCAAGGCGACGAUCUUUAGCUGGUCUGAGAGGAUGAUCAGCCACAUCGGGACUGAGACACGGCCCGAACUCCUACGGGAGGCAGCAGUGGGGAAUAUUGGACAAUGGGGGCAACCCUGAUCCAGCAAUACCGCGUGUGUGAAGAAGGCCUGAGGGUUGUAAAGCACUUUCAAUUGUGAAGAAAAGUUAACGGUUAAUAACCGUUAGCCUUGACGUUAACUUUAGAAGAAGCACCGGCUAACUCCGUGCCAGCAGCCGCGGUAAUACGGAGGGUGCAAGCGUUAAUCGGAAUUACUGGGCGUAAAGCGUGCGUAGGCGGUUUAUUAAGUCAGAUGUGAAAGCCCCGGGCUUAACCUGGGAACUGCAUUUGAAACUGGUCAACUAGAGUAUGGUAGAGGAAAGUGGAAUUUCUGGUGUAGCGGUGAAAUGCGUAGAUAUCAGAAGGAACAUCAAUGGCGAAGGCAGCUUUCUGGACCAAUACUGACGCUGAGGUACGAAAGCGUGGGUAGCAAACAGGAUUAGAUACCCUGGUAGUCCACGCCGUAAACGAUGAUAACUAGCCGUUGGGGGGAUUUACCCUUUAGUGGCGAAGCUAACGCGUUAAGUUAUCCGCCUGGGGAGUACGGCCGCAAGGUUAAAACUCAAAGGAAUUGACGGGGACCCGCACAAGCGGUGGAGCAUGUGGUUUAAUUCGAUGCAACGCGAAGAACCUUACCUGGUCUUGACAUCCUGCGAACUUUCUAGAAAUAGAUUGGUGCCUUCGGGAACGCAGUGACAGGUGCUGCAUGGCUGUCGUCAGCUCGUGUCGUGAGAUGUUGGGUUAAGUCCCGUAACGAGCGCAACCCCUAUCCUUAUUUGCCAGCACAUCAUGGUGGGAACUAUAAGGAGACUGCCGGUGAUAAACCGGAGGAAGGCGGGGACGACGUCAAGUCAUCAUGGCCCUUACGACCAGGGCUACACACGUGCUACAAUGGGAAGGACAAAGAGCCGCGAAGCCGCGAGGUGUAGCUAAUCUCAUAAACCUUUUCGUAGUCCGGAUUGGAGUCUGCAACUCGACUCCAUGAAGUCGGAAUCGCUAGUAAUCGUAGAUCAGAAUGCUACGGUGAAUACGUUCCCGGGUCUUGUACACACC
rnacentral:rRNA from 1 species